UUGAAAGGGAAACGAUUGAAGUCAGUCGUGCUGGCGCGAAAUCAACCUUCUCGUCUUGAGAUCACAGGCGUGGCGAGCCUCAAAACCGUCACGAAGCGUGAACUCUUGGUGAAAUGGAGCACUUUCGUGUCCGCUGGUUAACAUCAAUUUCGAACGUCAUAAAAAGGCUGGAGGGAUGUGGCUCCUUCGGGAGUGUUAUAACCUUUAGCGGAAUGUGGUGUUCGGGAUUGAGGAUUGCAACGAAUACCUUUAGGGCUGUUCCACCUGGCUUCUCUUUGGUAUCCUGGUGACGACAGCUUGCUGACGUCGUUAGGAUUCGCCUUUGAACAGGCUAGAGUGUGAGCAAAUUCGUUAAGGAUGUUGACGUA
rnacentral:rRNA from 1 species